GCGGGAACGUCUAACGUCUCGUGAGCGUCGGCUGCGGCGGUGUUCUUGUGUGUGAGAAAGAGCGUGCUGAUGCCAUGCCGUCCGGCGGUCCAAGUUACGGCAGCUACUGCUGUGUGUCGUGGUGCUUCAACAACGGCAAAACCCAGAAGAAGCCAGGAACGAGUUUCUUCCGCAUACCACGGGACGGCAGGAUGACAGCAUGGAUGCAGUACGCUGGAAGAGACGAUCUUCUGAGUAAGCCGGGCAGCGUAUUGUACGCAACCUACA